rnacentral:siRNA from 1 species
AACUGGUGCUCAAACCCAGUCCA